rnacentral:rRNA from 1 species
AGAGUUCUCUUUUCUAUUUAACAGUUCCGACAGCCGUGGAAACGAGUUAUUCGGAGAAGCGGGGGCGCGACUGGCAGAACAGUGCCUUCGUGCAUUGUCCGGUGUGCUUUUGUCGAUCCUUGAAAAACCGAGGGAAAAUAAAACUCUCGUCCUUGAUCGUACCCAAAACCGCAUCAGGUCUCCAAGGUGAUUAGCCUCUGGUCGAUAGAAUAAUGCAGGUAAGGGAAGUCGGCAAGAU